AUUAGUAUAGGUAAUCAUGCGAUGGCGAGUACAAUUAGGGAUUAAUAGUACGAGUGAUGUUUGAAAUUUUGCCAAAAUUGGACGAGCCGCCGGGGCGAGUCCAAUUUGGCAAAUUUCCAAACAUCACGAGUACUAUUAAUCCCUAAUUGUACGAGCAACAUCGCAUGAUUACUUGUUUAUUAUUAGCAUGACAAAAUUGGAUACGUACUUCUCAAUGUCAACAUCAUAUUCUCUCGCCAAAGCAGAGUCCUACCAGACUUUCAACCAAAAUUUGGUGCUUUUGUUUGUAUUUUCAUUUAGUUCUUUUGUUCAAGCAAAAUUUGGUGCUUUUGUUCGUAUUUUCAUCUAGUUCCUCUAGCGUAAUUUCAUUUCACAUUUGUGUUUAAAAUACCUUUCCGCCAUUUUGUUUGUUUUGGAAAUCAUUAAUUGUACUGCAGUACAAUUAAUGAAAUAAUUGUACUCCUCUCAACCAAUCAGCAUCCAGUAAUUUUGUCAUGCUAAUAAUAAA